AACACUUUGGAGACCAACUGGAAAGCAGGCAAAUUUUGUGAAUAGGAAGGUUUUCUUCUUGUUCAUCUUCCGCUACCUACUACUUUAUUUGUUUUUGGGCACAUUUUUCAGUUGUAGACAUUUAUGCGAUUUCAGAGAUUUGCCAUGUUCGCUAUUCUUUAAUCUUUCAUCUUGAGUCAAGUAAUUUAUUUU
ensembl:ncRNA F12A10.13 ncRNA